AUAAUAAAGUGGCCAGAAAGCUGCUGUUGGUGUUUAAUGUGAUAUGAUGUGUAAAGCCUCUUAUCCAUUGCACUCUGGAUGUGCUGACCCCUGUGAUUUCCCCAAAUGUGGGAAACUCAACUGCAUAAUUUGUAGUAGUAGGGGACUGCGUUUUGCUCUCCCCUG